rnacentral:rRNA from 1 species
CGGGGUGCAGCAGGCGCGAAAACUUUGCAAUGCGGGAAACCGUGACAAGGGAACUCUGAGUGCCCGUUAAAUCGGGCUGUCCAUCGGUUUAAAUAACCGGUGAAGAAAGGGCCGGGCAAGACCGGUGCCAGCCGCCGCGGUAAUACCGGCGGCUCGAGUGGUGGCCACUAUUACUGGGCUUAAAGCGUUCGUAGCUGGUUUGUUAAGUCUCUGGGGAAAUCUUCCGGCUUAACCGGAAGGCGUCUCAGGGAUACUGGCAGACUAGGGACCGGGAGAGGUGAGAGGUACUCCAGGGGUAGGAGUGAAAUCCUGUAAUCCUUGGGGGACCACCUGUGGCGAAGGCGUCUCACCAGAACGGCUCCGACAGUGAGGGACGAAAGCUGGGGGAGCAAACCGGAUUAGAUACCCGGGUAGUCCCAGCUGUAAACGAUGUGCGUUAGGUGUAUCGGUGACCACGAGUCACCGAGGUGCCGAAGAGAAAUCGCGAAACGUACCGCCUGGGAAGUACGGUCGCAAGGCUGAAACUUAAAGGAAUUGGCGGGGGAGCAC